UGCUCUUACGGGAGGCAGCAGUAGGGAAUCUUCGGCAAUGGGCGAAAGCCUGACUGAGCAACGCCGCGUGAAUGAAGAGGGCCUUCGGGCUGUAAAAUUCUGUUAUAAGGGAAGAAAGGUGAUAGGAGGAAAUGACUAUCAAUUGGCGGUACCUUAUGAGAAAGCCACGGCUAACUACGUGCCAGCAGCCGCGGUAAUACGUAGGUGGCAAGCGUUAUCCGGAAUUAUUGGGCGUAAAGAGCGCGCAGGUGGUUAAUUAAGUCUGAUGUGAAAGCCCACGGCUUAACCGUGGAGGGUCAUUGGAA
rnacentral:rRNA from 1 species